rnacentral:rRNA from 1 species
CACGUGAGUAACCUGCCUUUCACUCUGGGAUAAGCCUUGGAAACGAGGUCUAAUACUGGAUAUGACUCCUUGCCGCAUGGUGGGGGGUGGAAAGCCUUNGGGUGGUGGAUGAUGGACUCGCGUACUAUCAGCUUGUUGGUGGGGUUGUGGCUCACCAAGGCUUUGACGGUUAGCCGGCCUGAGAGGGUGAUCGGCCACAUUGGGACUGAGAUACGGCCCAGACUCCUACGGGAGGCAGCAGUGGGGAAUAUUGCACAAUGGGCGAAAGCCUGAUGCAGCGACGCCGCGUGGGGGAUGAAGGCCUUCGGGUUGUAAACUCCUUUCGCUCGUGACGAAGCCUUUCGGGGUGACGGUAGCGGGAGAAGAAGCACCGGCUAACUACGUGCCAGCAGCCGCGGUAAUACGUAGGGUGCGAGCGUUGUCCGGAAUUAUUGGGCGUAAAGAGCUUGUAGGCGGUUUGUCGCGUCUGCUGUGAAAGCCCGGGGCUUAACUCCGGGUCUGCAGUGGGUACGGGCAGGCUAGAGUAUGGUAGGGGAGACUGGAAUUCCUAGUGUAGCGGUGAAAUGCGCAGAUAUUAGGAGGAACACCGAUGGCGAAGGCAGGUCUCUGGGCCAUUACUGACGCUGAGAAGCGAAAGCAUGGGGAGCAAACAGGAUUAGAU